GAUGAACGCUGGCGGCGUGCCUAAUACAUGCAAGUCGAGCGAACAGACGAGGAGCUUGCUCCUCUGACGUUAGCGGCGGACGGGUGAGUAACACGUGGAUAACCUACCUAUAAGACUGGGAUAACUUCGGGAAACCGGAGCUAAUACCGGAUAAUAUAUUGAACCGCAUGGUUCAAUAGUGAAAGACGGUUUUGCUGUCACUUAUAGAUGGAUCCGCGCCGCAUUAGCUAGUUGGUAAGGUAACGGCUUACCAAGGCAACGAUGCGUAGCCGACCUGGGGGGGGGUGCGGCCACACUGAAAUGGAGACCCGUCCCAGACUCCGAGGGGGGGCAGCAGAGGGAAAUUCCCCCAAAGGGGCGAAAGCCGGACGGGGCACCGCGGGGUGAGUGAUGAAGGUCUUCGGACCGAAAAACUCUUUUUUUGGGGAAAAAAAAAUGUUAAAUUAACUAUGCACUUUUUGACGUUACCAAACCAGAAAGCCCCGGCUAACUACG
rnacentral:rRNA from 1 species